AUUGGCACUUUAUGAUGGCUAAAAUUGUAAGGCUAAAUAAAAAUGCUUGACAAUUUAAUCAAAGGUUCAUUAAAAGUCGUACUUAGUGGUCGGAAAAAAAAAUCGAGUGUAGUGUAGUAUUUUUUUUACCGAACUUCUCUCCGAAUCCUUUUUCGUUAGUUUGUCGUUAGAGAUAUAAAUUAAAUAAUUGAAUAUGUAUCUUACGUACUCAACUUUUUACCUACAACAGCGGUACACCCGCGUGACACAUGUCCGUCCCUAGUCCGUCACCUCUUUUUUUUUGUU